GUUGUCCGACUCUGUUGCCUCCGGGGCGACCCUGCCUUCGGGCGGGGGCCCCGGGUGGACACUUCAAACUCUUGCGUAACUUUGCAGUCUGAGUAAACUUAAUUAAUAAAUUAAAACUUUUAACAACGGAUCUCUUGGUUCUGGCAUCGAUGAAGAACGCAGCGAAAUGCGAUAAGUAAUGUGAAUUGCAGAAUUCAGUGAAUCAUCGAAUCUUUGAACGCACAUUGCGCCCUCUGGUAUUCCGGAGGGCAUGCCUGUCCGAGCGUCAUUGCUGCCCUCAAGCACGGCUUGUGUGUUGGGCCCCGUCCUCCUUCCGGGGGACGGGUCCGAAAGGCAGCGGCGGCACCGCGUCCGGUCCUCAAGCGUAUGGGGCUUUGUCACUCGCUUUGUAGGCCUGGCCGGCGCUUGCCGAUCAACCAAACUUUUUAUCAGGUUGACCUCGGAUCAGGUAGGGAUACCCGCUGAACUUAAGCAUAUCAAUAAGCGGAGGAAAAGAAACCAACAGGGAUUGCCCCAGUAACG
rnacentral:rRNA from 1 species